UUUUCUCUUCAAUCCUUCCAGUUACAGGUCACAGGCACAGGAGGGAGAGAUGUAUUGAAGAAGUCAACAGAAGACUUGAAGGCUUUGCCUCU